GCUGAACUUAAGCAUAUUAAUAAGCGGAGGAAAAGAAACUAACAAGGAUUCCCCUAGUAACGGCGAGUGAAGCGGGAAGAGCUCAAGCUUAAAAUCUCCGUGCAAGUUUUGUGCGGCGAAUUGUAGUCUAUAGAAGCGUGGUCAGCAUGGGCACUUGGGGCAAGUUCCUUGGAAGAGGACAGCAUGGAGGGUGAUACUCCCGUUCAUUUCUGAGUUGCUCGUGCGUACGACCCGUUUUCUUUGAGUCGCGUUGUUUGGGAAUGCAGCGCAAAGUAGGUGGUAAAUUCCAUCUAAAGCUAAAUAUUGGUGCGAGACCGAUAGCGAACAAGUACCGUGAGGGAAAGAUGAAAAGAACUUUGAAAAGAGAGUUAAAGAGUACCUGAAACUGCUGAAAGGGAACCGAAUCGUUUCCAGUGUCUAUAAUCCGUGGUAUAUUUCAUUGGCGAGUGUGUGCGUGCGUGUGCUGUGGCAGCGGCUUUUUUGGCUGCGCUCGGCGUGUGUGCUGUGUGUGCUUGCUGGUGCUCUGUGCUGCGGUGGGACGUCAAGGUCAGUUCGUAUGCUGCGGGAAAUGGCUGCCGAGGAGGUAGGGCUUACGCUUGCGUUUGUCUGUUAUAUCUUGGUGGACGAGUAGUCGCGGUUGGGACUGAGGUGCCUACAACGUGCUUUUGAGUGGGUUUGUGUCUCCGUGURCGCCGUGUGCGGAUAGCUUGCUAUGCGUGUGUGGUUGUGUGUGGAUUGAUGCGAGCUUUAACUUGUUGCCGUUCGGGACGUUGACGAAAUGGAGCGAUUCGACCCGUCUUGAAACACGGACCAAGGAGUCUAACAUGUGUGCAAGUGUUAGGGUGUGGAAACCCCAGCGCGAAAUGAAAGUGAAGGGCAGCGUAAGUUGUCUGAGGUAGGAAAUGCUGCGGGCUUCGGUCUGCGGUGUGGCACUAUCGACCGAUCAUGAACCUUCGUGGUGAAAGAUUUGAGUUUGAGCACAUAUGUUGGUACCCGAAAGAUGGUGAACUAUGCCUGAGUAGGGUGAAGCCAGGGGAAACUCUGGUGGAAGCUCGUAGCGAUUCUGACGUGCAAAUCGAUCGUCAAACUUGGGUAUAGGGGCGAAAGACUAAUCGAACCAUCUAGUAGCUGGUUCCCUCCGAAAUUUCCCUCAGGAUAGCAGCAACUUAUUUACGAUAGUUUUAUGAGGUAAAGCGAAUGAUUAGAGGAUUCGGGGAAGAAACUUCCUCGACCUAUUCUCAAACUUUAAAUCUGUAAGACCUGCAGGUUUCUUAAUUGAACUUGUGGAUGUGAAUAUCAAGUUGCUAGUGGGCCAUACGGGGUAAGCUCGUCUGGCG
rnacentral:rRNA from 1 species